rnacentral:lncRNA from 1 species
UUGGAAAACUAUUUACAUCAUUGAAUCUCCUCAAAAUCGAUUGAGAACAUUGGCCAACCUAUUGGUUAAGAAAUCAUUUUUACCCAGUAUUGCAAAAAUUAUCUUUGUAUAUGGGAAUGCAAUCUUACACUUUAUUGUUCACAUUAGUGUUUCUAGCUCAGCAUAAAACAGUGAGAGAUUACUUAGUAUAUUUUUCACCUCAUCCACACAUCUUAUCCUUCUUGACUGCUAUACCAUCCUAGCCCAAAAACCACUGUAUGCUUUCCGAAAGUACACUCUUGAAUAAAUAAUCCAUAUAUGAACAAAUUAAUGACAUAUAAAACACAUAUGUAUUUUGCAUCUAGCCAUUAAUUCAUCCUCUCGACGCUCUCUUCUUCAACUUACAACCACAGAUCUCUGUUUCUCCGGUGACCGGCGCGUGGCGGCUCCGUUAGCGCCACCGCCGGUCCCGUUAGUUUCCUCUUCUUUGUUUUGUGUAGAUCCCUUAUUUAAUUUGUCUUAGGUUUCGUAUCUGGUUAAGCGGAGGGUGUUGUUUCGUCGAGCUCGUGUCGGGUCACGGUCUCUGUGGAGGUCGUGUGGCUAGUUGGUCAUGCCAGCUGCCGGUGAAGCUUGGUGGUUCCGUUUCGAGUCGUCUCUCGGGUCCCUGCCUUUUGUGGGUUGAAGUAACGAUUGGUCCUUAACGUUUUGUUUUUGUGACAAUGUUGGGUUUGUUUGAUGGUAUUGGUCUUUACGGCUGUUGUCGUAUGUUUAGCAUGGGCUUGUUUAUGGUGGGAUAAGCUUGGUUUUCGAUGUCUCUAUUCUUGGGGUUAACAAUUGACUUAGCAGAUUGGGUUUCAACUGGUGGUGGGUACAAUGAGUGCUUCUCUUCGUUUCUUUUUCCGUGAGUGAGUGACUCCGGAGAGUUUCGAUGGGCAAGGCUUCCGUUUCGUGUGGUUUUAGCAGGUCUUCUAUUCAGGGGUAAGUGGGCGCUUGUGAGUGCGUCGCAUCCGUAUACGAUGGUGGUGUGGACCGAGUAACGGUCCUUCUUGUCGGGUUAUGAAGUCUUGAGGUUCUUGGACGUUAUCGGUUGGCGGGCGUGUGCAGCAACGAUAGGUUGUGGUGUAUUGGGUUCUAGAGGUGGAGGUUAUCGGGUGGCAAUCUUUGAUGUGCAGCGAUAAUUCCCGGUCAUUGGCAUCCUUAUGUUUUGAAAUCUGCUGAGUUGUUUUGCUUAAUAUCCUAGUGUAGUUAUUAAUGGAUUUCCUUUGCUUAGUUGUGGAUUGAGUUCUUAUGGCUUGUGUUUGUAAGUCGUCCCUGUGUGGGUUCUAGCUGCCGCCUCCUGUGGGCUCUUGUGUCUGAAGAAUGUUCGAUUUUCCGUCAGUUUUUGUAUUUUAAUUAGUAUUUUUCUAUGGAAUAUGAAUUUAAAUUUGGGGAAAAAAAAAGCACACACAUAUGUUAGAUGAAACUGGUAAAAGAGUCAAUGUUUGGAGUGCCAAUGAAAAUUAAAAGAAAAUACAUUGUUUA